AUUAUUUUAUCAACAUAAAAUGUGUUGUUUGUGUUACGUAAAAACUCACUAUUACUUUAUAUAUUGUAUAUCUUUAUUACGUUUUUCACCUACGGAGGUCGCCAUUGUUUCACCACGCAGGGCUGAUGACGUGGGUAGGUCAUAGUGGACAUGUUAUGCUAACAACUGCAGGCUAACAUCACUUGGAUCGGUCUUGGUGUGUCUAAUGAGCGUUUUAUUUUGCUUUUGAGCGGUGUAAACUCAGGCAAUGCCGCACUGCGUCGCUUAUGGUUGUAAMUUUAACACACACAAAAACAGAAAAAGUGAGGUGAGCCUUCAUCGCUUUCCACAGGAAGAAGAAAGAAGAUCACAAUGGGAAAAAGCUGUUGGAAGGACACAUCUUCCAAAGGACCCACAUUUGUGCUCUCAGCACUUCACUCCAGACGAUUUUGAGUCGUUUGUAAGAUCGAAGUUAAUGAAGGAGCUAACAGGUGGUCGUUCCCCACGCAGGCUUAAACCCGACGCUGUGCCGACAAUUUUCCCCCACAAAGUGCCUCAGCACCACCGGCUAGAGAGCGAAAGUGAGCUGGAAGCGCCGUUAUUUAAUGAUGGUACUGCUGGUGCUGCAUGUGGACUCACAAACCCGACACUGGACUCCAAACCAGAACCGACACCAGACAUAAAGACAGAGCCAGAGGACGUAAAGGUUCACACACAAGCAUUGUCUUCAACUACAACAAAUACUGAAACUCAAACGUUUGUGAGCACAUCAGAUGCUGCGGUACAGUGCCCAGAAGAUGCAUUUUACCCGAUUCAAAUGGAUCAAACAUCAGAUGCUACAGUACAGUGGCCAGAAGAUGCAUUUUACCAGAUUACAAUGGAUUAUACAUCACAUGCCGCAGUACAGUGGCCAGAAGAUGCGUCAUGCCAGAUUACAAUGAAUACAUCACAUGCUGCUGUACAGCGGUCAGAAGAUGCAUUUUACCAGAUUCAAAAGGAUCAUAUUUAUGCACGCAGGCCAAUAAAAAAAACACGAAAAGGAAGAAGACUGUAAUUAACAGSAUUUGUUCCUUUCAGAUGCUGAAUCAAAUGAGGAGCGUGUGCCCAUGUACACAAAAUCUGAUUCAGAGCACACUGCAAGUUUUUCAGAGUCUUCACGAAGGAAUCACAAGACACAAAUGUUGGCUGAGGCCAGCAUCUGAUGCCCACAUUGCUCUUGUGAAAAUCAUAAAAGACAAGCGGGUUUUGAAAGACCWGGACCAUCUUACAAAAUACAUCCACACAAUAACACUAGAGGUGUACCACUUUAUGUAUUUCAAGUACCUGCCAAAGAGAACACAUUUUACUUGUGAUGUGAUGGUUCACYCUUCCAUGCUGACUGCACUGGAUCAUAAACAACAACACCAACAGGGAAACAGGCAGUGUACCAAGAUGGGGAGAGUGUUGGUGAAUCUCUCUUCAAAUUUUCUUGGAGCAAWGUCRWUAAGAAAAUCGAAGCGAGGCUACUGUUUCAGAAGGACUACAGCUACAUGAAGGCCAUUAUGGAGGAUGCUCUGUCAGAAUCAGAUUCCACCCGUAACAUGAACAAAAGAGUAAAAACACAAGUCACGGCACCACAAGAGAGACCACCCAGARAAGACAGUAUUUUUUGGGCACAGAAGUUUUCACAUUUCAAGUAGUUGUACUAUUAGGUUGUACAAUUACAUACUGCUGAAAUACAUUUUUUUCUGUUUCAUAUAUCCCAUUUAAAAAAAGAAAGAAAAUAUACAUAAUUACCCACAAAAGGUUAGGGCUAUCUUGUGAGGCUUUGGGUCUUUAAUUUUUUAGGAGGUGUUCUAAUCUCAUGAUGUCAAAAUGUGAACAGUAUGAUUAAGAUGGACUGUUUUCAAAAAUGAAUCAAGUCUCUCUUGUGAAUUUUACUGUUAGAGCAGCAAAUCAUGCAUAGAGUACAGAAAUAUUUGGACACGUGCGGUCAAAUUCAAAGUUUAGAGUACGUUCACCAGUAAAAGGUUAGACUGCAAUUUAGUUUCACUCUGAAAUUGCACCUGAAAGACGUUUAUUCUUUUGUCAAUAUUAGUCUGAAAUUAUCCCAGAUGAACAGCAAUAUUUUGUUUCCCCAAAUUAUUCAUACAUAAUGUCAAAGUGCAAGUAAGACACAAAGACAAUGCAUUAUAACUUUGUCCUAAUUAAAAAGAAAUUCAGCGCAUCAAAGGAAGAAAAUAAAUUAUGACCGAGCAUGCGUCAUCUACCCGUCAUACAUUGCAACGACGUGCAUGGCGACAUCCGUGUGAAACUAUAUUUUUUUUAAUUUAUAAAAGCUAAACAGUUUUUUUACUGUAUUAUUUCUAUGUUUAAAAUAAAUGUUUCUCUAAUAAAACACUGUAUGUUGUUAACUAAU